AACGAACGCUGGCGGCAGGCCUAACACAUGCAAGUCGAGCGCGCCCUCCGGGGUGAGCGGCGGACGGGUGGGUAACGCGUGGGAACGUGCCCUUCUCUGCGGAAUAGCCUCGGGAAACUGAGAGUAAUACCGCAUACGCCCUUUGGGGGAAAGAUUUAUCGGGGCAGGAUCGGCCCGCGUUGGAUUAGGUAGUUGGUGGGGUAAUGGCCCACCAAGCCGACGAUCCAUAGCUGGUUUGAGAGGAUGAUCAGCCACACUGGGACUGAGACACGGCCCAGACUCCUACGGGAGGGAGCAGUGGGGAAUCUUAGACAAUGGGGGCAAACCUGAUCUAGCCAUGCCGCGUGAGUGAUGAAGGCCUUAGGGUUGUAAAGCUCUUUCAGCUGGGAAGAUAAUGACGGUACCAGCAGAAGAAGCCCCGGCUAACUCCGUG
rnacentral:rRNA from 1 species